UACGUAGGGUGCAAGCGUUUGUCCGGAAUUAUUGGGCGUAAAGAGCUCGUAGGCGGUUUGUCGCGUCUGCUGUGAAAACCCGAGGCUCAACCUCGGGCCUGCAGUGGGUACGGGCAGACUAGAGUGCGGUAGGGGAGAUUGGAAUUCCUGGUGUAGCGGUGGAAUGCGCAGAUAUCAGGAGGAACACCAGUGGCGAAGGCGGCUCUCUGGGGCAGAUACUGACGCUGAGACGCGAAAGCAUGGGGAGCAAACAGA
rnacentral:rRNA from 1 species